UCAAACUUGGUCAUUUAGAGGAAGUAAAAGUCGUAACAAGGUUUCCGUAGGUGAACCUGCGGAAGGAUCAUUAACAAAAUUGUUAUCCAAUAUUCACCUUGUGUGCAGUUUUGCAUAAUAUCUUUUGGAAAGAUUAUUUUUUAUAAUGAUCUUUCCAAAGAGAUUAUUAUAAUUAAUCUAUUUUUUUUUUUUCUUUAUCAUGUCUAAACUAUAUAUCUAAAAUAAAAAAAUAACUUUCAACAACGGAUCUCUUGGCUCUCGCAUCGAUGAAGAACGCAGC
rnacentral:misc_RNA from 1 species